UGACCUCAAAUCGGGUGAGACUACCCGCUGAACUUAAGCAUAUCAAUAAGCGGAGGAAAAGAAACUAACAAGGAUUCCCCUAGUAACUGCGAGUGAAGCGGGAAAAGCUCAAAUUUAAAAUCUGGUGGUCUUUGGCCAUCCGAGUUGUAAUUUAGAGAAGCGUCUUCCGCGCUGGACCGUGCACAAGUCUCCUGGAAUGGAGCGUCAUAGAGGGUGAGAAUCCCGUCUUUGGCAUGGACACACCAGGGCUUUUGUGAUGCGCUCUCGAAGAGUCGAGUUGUUUGGGAAUGCAGCUCAAAAUGGGUGGUGAACUCCAUCUAAAGCUAAAUAUUGGCGAGAGACCGAUAGCGAACAAGUACCGUGAGGGAAAGAUGAAAAGCACUUUGGAAAGAGAGUGAAACAGUACGUGAAAUUGUUGAAAGGGAAACGCUUGAAGUCAGUCACGUCGACCGAGACUCAACCUUGCCUCGGCUUGGUGUACUUCUCGGCUGACGGGUCAGCAUCAAUUUUGCCCCUUGGAUAAUGACGAGGGAAAUGUGACACCUUUAUGGUGUGUUAUAGUCUCUCGUCGCAUGCAAGGGUUGGGAUUGAGGAACUCAGCACGCGCCCUUUGGGUGUCGGGGCUUUGCCCACGAUACGUGCUUAGGA
rnacentral:rRNA from 2 species